rnacentral:lncRNA from 1 species
AUACAGGCCAUGCACUGCUAUUGUGGCUGCAGUACAUGAGAAUUUCUCAUCUCAACAAAUAUGCAUAUUCAGUAACACCUGCACGCUAAAGUAAGAUCACAUUACUUAUGAAUUAUAGAAUGCUAUUAGUGGAGUGUGAUCUGCCCGGUGAUCACGGAGAUGGCCUGCCCGGUGGUCAAUUAUUUGCCCAUUGUAAGAUCAUAUUACUUAUGAAUUAUAGAAUGCUCUUAGUGGAGUGUGAUCUGCCCGGUGAUCAUGGAGAUGGCCUGCCUGGUGGUCAAUUAUUUGCCUAUUUUUUCUGCUUUUAUGGAGCAAACCUGCCU